rnacentral:lncRNA from 1 species
CGGAGACAAUGGACUCAGUCCCAGAUACAGUCACACUGGGCCGAGCCAGCUACCGCUGCAGAAUCUAGUCACGGACCCCCCCCCACACACACACACACUCAUGGAGUUGGUUGGAACUGGGCCGUGAGAAAGGAGCUGAGGGGGAGAGU